CGCCCUGAGGGGGAAAGCGGGGGAUCGUAAGACCUCGCGUUAAUGGAGCGGCCGAUGCCGGAUUAGCUAGUUGGUGAGGUAAAGGCUCACCAAGGCGACGAUCCGUAGCUGGUCUGAGAGGACGACCAGCCACACUGGAACUGAGACACGGUCCAGACUCCUACGGGAGGCAGCAGUGGGGAAUUUUGGACAAUGGGCGCAAGCCUGAUCCAGCCAUUCCGCGUGAGUGAAGAAGGCCUUCGGGUUGUAAAGCUCUUUCGCAAGGAAAGAAAACU
rnacentral:rRNA from 1 species